rnacentral:rRNA from 1 species
UCGAACGGAAAGGCCCAGCUUGCUGGGUACUCGAGUGGCGAACGGGUGAGUAACACGUGGGUGAUCUGCCCUGCACUCUGGGAUAAGCCUGGGAAACUGGGUCUAAUACCGGAUAUGACCAACUGUCGCAUGGUGGUUGGUGGAAAGCUUUUGCGGUGUGGGAUGGGCCCGCGGCCUAUCAGCUUGUUGGUGGGGUAAUGGCCUACCAAGGCGACGACGGGUAGCCGACCUGAGAGGGUGAUCGNNCACACUGGGACUGAGACACGAAAAAAAACUCCUACGGGAGGCAGCAGUGGGGAAUAUUGCACAAUGGGCGCAAGCCUGAUGCAGCGACGCCGCGUGAGGGAUGACGGCCUUCGGGUUGUAAACCUCUUUCACCAGGGACGAAGCGNNANUGACGGUACCUGGAGAAGAAGCACCGGCCAACUACGUGCCAGCAGCCGCGGUAAUACGUAGGGUGCGAGCGUUGUCCGGAAUUACUGGNCNNAAAAGAGCUCGUAGGCGGUUUGUCGCGUCGUCUGUGAAAUUCUGCAACUCAAUUGCAGGCGUGCAGGCGAUACGGGCAGACUUGAGUACUACAGGGGAGACUGNAAUUCCUGGUGUAGCGGGUGAAAUGCGCAGAUAUCAGGGAGGAACACCGGUGGCGAAGGCGGGGUCUCUGGGUAGUAACUGACGCUGAGGAGCGAAAGCGUGGGUAGCGAACAGGAUUAGAUACCCUGGUAG